rnacentral:rRNA from 1 species
UCCGUAGGCGGGUAAUUAAGUCAGAGGUGAAAUCCCACAGCUUAACUGUGGAACUGCCUUAGAUACUGGUUAUCUUGAGUUUUAGUGAAGUAGAUAGAAUGUGUAGUGUAGCGGUGAAAUGCAUAGAUAUUACACAGAAUACCAAUUGCGAAGGCAGUCUACUAACUAACAACUGACGCUAAUGGACGAAAGCGUGGGGAGCGAACAGGAUUAGAUACCCUGGUAGUCC